UACGUAGGGGGCAAGCGUUAUCCGGAUUUACUGGGUGUAAAGGGAGCGUAGACGGGUUAUCAAGUCAGCGGUAAAAUCGUGGAGCUCAACUCCAUCCAGCCGUUGAAACUGAUGAUCUUGAGUGGGCGAGAAGUACGCGGAAUGCGUGGUGUAGCGGUGAAAUGCAUAGAUAUCACGCAGAACUCCGAUAGCGAAGGCAGCUUACCAGACUGCGACUGACGCUGAAGCACGAGAGCGUGGGUAGCGAACAGG
rnacentral:rRNA from 1 species